UAUUAUUAUUAUAAGUCAUUCGCAACACGUGCUACUCUGGUACUUCAGGCUGUGCCAGUUUUCUAAUCAGUCAGGUACCUGAAGUAGCGCGCGCUGCGGAGGGACACG
rnacentral:pre_miRNA from 1 species